AGCGUAUAUUAAAGUUGUUGCAGUUAAAAAGCUCGUAGUUGAAUUUCGGGAUUAGUACGUUGGUCGUGCCUUCGGUACGUACUGGUGUUACUGAUUCCUACCUUCUGACGAACCAUCAUGUCAUUAAUUUGGUGUGGCGGGGAAUCAGGACUGUUACUUUGAAAAAAUUAGAGUGUUUAAAGCAGGCUCGCGCUUGAAUACAUUAGCAUGGAAUAAUGAAAUAGGACGUUGACCCUAUUUUGUUGGUUUCUAGGAUUGACGUAAUGAUUAAUAGGGAUAGUUGGGGGCAUUAGUAUUCAAUUGUCAGAGGUGAAAUUCUUGGAUUUAUUGAAGACUAACUACUGCGAAAGCAUUUGCCAAGGAUGUUUUCAUUAAUCAAGAACGAAAGUUAGGGGAUCGAAGACGAUCAGAUACCGUCGUAGUCUUAACCAUAAACUAUGCCGACUAGGGAUCGGAUGAUGUUAUUUUUAAUGACUC
rnacentral:rRNA from 1 species